rnacentral:rRNA from 1 species
GAUGAACGCUGGCGGCGUGCCUAAUACAUGCAAGUCGAGCGAACAGACGAGGAGCUUGCUCCUCUGACGUUAGCGGCGGACGGGUGAGUAACACGUGGAUAACCUACCUAUAAGACUGGGAUAACUUCGGGAAACCGGAGCUAAUACCGGAUAAUAUAUUGAACCGCAUGGUUCAAUAGUGAAAGACGGUUUUGCUGUCACUUAUAGAUGGAUCCGCGCCGCAUUAGCUAGUUGGUAAGGUAACGGCUUACCAAGGCGACGAUGCGUAGCCGACCUGAGAGGGUGAUCGGCCACACUGGAACUGAGACACGGUCCAGACUCCUACGGGAGGCAGCAGUAGGGAAUCGUCCGCAAUGGGCGAAAGCCUGACGGAGCAACGCCGCGUGAGUGAUGAAGGUCUUCGGAUCGGAAAACUCUGUUAUUAGGGAAGAACAAAUGUGUAAGUAACUAUGCACGUCUUGACGGUACCUAAUCAGAAAGCCACGGCUAACUACGUG